GGUGUUGUGUUUUAAAGUGUGAAAUGCAAAGUAAUCGUGAUAAAGUCAAGAUAAAGUUCACUUUUAAACUGAACUAAAUAAGGUAUCAUCUGAGAGAUAACAAUGGUUAAAUGCAAUACAAUGUAAAGGUUUUACUAGCGAAAUGAAAAUUCUCCUGUCCUGUCUGCUGUAAUCAUUUUAUAUCUGGUAAGUUACAAUUACAACAGUAACGAUUUUUGAAGAUGUUAACAUUUUAAUCUUAUAGGAAAACCAGCCGACUUAAUCGAUAAUAACAAUCUCCAGAUUGGGUUCCUUCAAUAAAUUGGGCUAUAAACACAAUGAAAUAAGUUACCCAAAAUCUAAAAUGGAGUGGUAUCAAAGGAGAAUUAAAAGAAAAAAUAUUCAUAUUGAAAUUAUUUAUAAGGCACUGGACUGUCUUAAAUUCUACAAAUACUAGAAUCAGCUGAGAGAAGUGGUGUACAAAAAAAAACCAGGAAGGGAAUGGAAUAUGUGGCUACGAAAGGCAAAAGAAAUGAUUACAAAGCAAAUGUGACACAUUUUUUUAAAAAUAUGUAGGAAUAUCAGUAAACUACAUUAAAAAUGUAUGAAAAGAUUUUGUGCAAUAAAAAUGUUUAUAUUUA
rnacentral:lncRNA from 1 species